rnacentral:misc_RNA from 1 species
GGAGCUGUGCGUGAAAUGUAUCUGUCAUACAUAUAUCUGCGUUUUUAACCAUUAGAUGAAACAUUAGAUAAUUGUGCUUUGCCCUAAGAGUCUAUAGCAAGCCUCUGUUGCUGCAUCAUCUACGAUUGUUAGUUGCUGACGCCUGGGAAUUUAAUAGACACAAUGGAGAAGGGCAUGGCGGAAUCCUAUGCUGCUGGGGUUGCAGCUGACAGAGUGAACCAGGCUACCAGCACAAUAUUCUUUGACAAAGGAAUGAUCAGGUCAAAGAUAGUCCUCCUGAAAAUUGCAGAGGCGGUGAUGAACCUGAUCUGCAUAAUCUGCGUGGCCUGCGCGUUCAACCCCUACGUCUCUCAGGCGACCUUUCUCGAGUUUGUCGCCUCGACCGGUAUCAUCGUGGCGGUGAUUCUGGGCGUUCUGUACGUGUUUCACAUCAGAGAGAAGGUUGCCCAGCUACUGCGACUGAACUUUACGGAGUGUGUGUUCGCGGCCGUCUGGUGCUUCUUCUUCUUCGCAGCGUCUACAGCGUCCGUGGUGCACGGCAGCUCCUACCAGUACCAGCAGGCGCUGAUUGCCGCGGGCUUUUUCGGCUACCUGUCGAUGGUGCUGUACGGCAUCGACGCGUUCCUCAUGUUCCACGCCUGGAGGACCGGCCAGACGGCAGCGGCCCAGCAGGCCUCUGAGCAGGUCACCACGCCGGCCUACUAAGCCACCCGCCGCCGGCCGCCUCCGUGUCGGCUCAGCGCGGCCGGCCAGAGGGCGCCCUCGGCGCGCUGCCGCCCUGGGCAGACACCGGCGCGGCCGGCCACCGGUGGACACUCUGCACUGCCCGGAGUCCGGCACCCACCGCACGAUAGGUCAGCCAUCCACGUGUGAGCGGCGGGGACCACUUUACGGGAUAUGGCUAAAUCCUGAUCGGCGACGUGACACGAGGACACCUAAAAUGCCCUUAUUUGAUAGAUCUGUUGAUUAUUGUUCGUUGUUAUUCGUUUGGUGGGCAUCUGCGGAGUUCUAAUUUGGAGUAUCUUUUUCACUGCUCUUUAAUUCAGAUUCACUGUCACCAAGAACGUCGUUUACAAUUUUGUCGAGUAAGCAAUACUUUUCGAUGCUAGUGCGUGAUAGCCGUUCCAAAAAGCACAGUUGCUCAAUGUUACAUUCCCAAUGAGACUUCUUUCAAGCGGUGGCCACUCGCACCUGCACUUUGCACCAGUAUGGGUGUGGCUUUUUGCGAAGUAAGAUUGGUUUGGUAAUUGUUUGGACUCUGUUAAUUACCGCAUGAGGGCUUAUAAUGUUGUCAGCUGGUACUAAACGCGCUGAACUCCUCAUUGUAGCAGUAUGUCAGAAUUGGCCUGGUUUGACUCUGAGGGGGUAACGGUGGAGCCCAGUCUAGCUUCGGCUGUUUAUCAACGAAGGGGUAUCGCAGGGUAGCCUAUUAAGCCCACUGUUUUUGGACAGUGCCAGCCAAGGACGCUUUAUAUCUUUCGUUUGGCAGUAAAUUAAACCGCACACGGAUCGAAGUGUCACCAGACACCAGUGAAAGUCACCAGGCUGCCACCUAUUUUGUUAUUGCUUUACGCACUGGACCUUUAUGACCGAUCAUUUGCUGACUUUGUAAUCGCUUUACCGUGAUAUGUGAUAGUUUCGCUGAGGCAUUUUAACUAAUUGCCGUCAUUCUCGAUCAAGAUCAAACUUUGGGUUCCAUAGGACUUUUGGGACCCAUAAGACUUUACGUACACAUUUAAACGAUUAGAAAAAACCGGGUUCCUACUUCCUAGUGUAGCCUGGUGGUGCCAUUGGUCUCACUCAAUCCAACAAUAGCUUACAUGUGUAGUUCAGACGAUGAUCAGGCAGUUCGUGGUUUUAGAAAGCAUAGCAAUCGGCUGCGUUAGCCGUUAUUUAUCUGCGAGGUUCACCUUAUUGUUCGUCAUUUCGUUGCCAUGCAGUCCGUCGCAGCUACAAUUACAACGAUAAGCCGCCAUGGCGGCAGCUUUCCCCCGAGCCUUGUAAAGCUUGUGUGCCUCGUUUCUGUAGUGUUUUCGCGCAGGACCAGUCGAUCGUAUAGGAGCGGAGGAGAUAAGAGAAGUUCGAUGUUGUCUAUUGUGUGUAGCUUAGCGGCCAGUUGGUGCGAUGGUGUGCUGUAGGUACCCUGCUCCAAAAUCCCUGUCGUGGUGUAGUGCACGCGUUGCUCCUCUACAACCGGUAGAUCGCUUUAGUCCAGAACGGCAAGUAUCCGCCGUGGAAUCACAUCUGUGUGUUGGUGCUUCCUUUUCAGCGUGUUUUGAAAUAUGCUGGUAGUGGUACAAUGUGGGGUUUACCGCAUUACGUUUUCGUUUCUUAUUGUAUUGAUAGCCGCGGGGCCAGACAGUCAGGUGCUUUACAAAUUUAUUUAAUGGUUGUGCUUGGAGCAGUGGUAGUCGAAGUAGUACUCGUUCGCACUUUUCUGUACAUUCGUAUUUAUGCAGUGUGUACACCCGCUACGGCAACCAUUGCCCACGUGGUACAAUUAUAUUAGCUGUCAUGAUCGUAGCAUCGCGACCACAUAUCAGCUGUGGCGUGUGUAGAGUGUUGUGCUUUACGGCGCCGAGUCCGGUCACCAGCGUAGGCACCGCGGCGUGUCUGCCCACCGGCGUGUGUCUCCGGCCACUGCACCGCCGGCGUGUGCGGUCCCCAGGCAACCAGCCGGCCGGCCAGAGCUUCGUGGCGUCGUACACUGCAUGCUGUCGUGAUCGUGCAACAAUAAAUGGACUCGGUAUGUGGC